AUUCAGGAUCACUCUACGUGGGUCACAUUCUUCCAGGAGAGCAAAGAUCAGGAGCUGGGCAAGUUUUUGGAGCUCCUGGGAUGAAGAGGGGGACAGGGAAAGCAUGUGUGUGUGCAUGUGUGUAUGUAUAUAUGUGUGCAUGCAUGUGUGUAUGUAUGUAUGUGUGCAUGCAUGUGUGUGCAUGUGUAUGCAUGCACGUGUGCAUGUGUGUACAUGCAUGUGUGCAUGUGUGCAUGUGUGCAUGUGCCUUGUGUUGCAUAAGUGUGCUCUGGUAGCUAGAGCAAUCCAAUUCAAUGUUUUAAGUCUUCCUUUGUGUAAACAGUACAGAGAGGCCACCUCCCCUUGUCACAGUCUCUGUGAUUAUAAAACAUGAAUUUUUGAUAAGUUCAGCUUUCUGGGAAGGCAGGCAGAUUUGGAGCCAAAGGACUGUCUUGGAACAUGUGUGGUGUUAUCUUGGUUCAUAUCAAGUCCAGAGCUGACUGAAGGCCUCAGCGUCUCUCAGCUCUGUGGGAAGGGCCAAGUGAGUCCUGGGGUCCCUGCUCAGUGCUGUUGUGAAGUUGUGUGGCGGCGGUCCCUGCCGCUUUGGUGGCAGCGGUCUUCUGAAAGACGAUUUUGUGUUAUCAUUGUUACUUCAUGGUUUUUUAAAAAAUGUAUCUGCUCUAUGUUUGGAAAUAAAAAGCUCUAUUUUGGUCUAUGA
ensembl:lincRNA Gm28875 predicted gene 28875